GAGUUUCCGCAGAUGAGCCGCGGGAAAGGAGACGAGGGGCGGUGGCCAGGCGGUUGCCCUGACAACGGGGAACCGACCGACUCUUCCCGGUAGGGAGAGGCGAUGGCGGAAUUACUCCUCUAAUGUCAAGGUAUUCUAAUCACAGAAUUACUGGAGCAUCAAGAAGUGCCUGCAUGCUUGGAAGGGCUUCCAGGCAGAUGAACACACCUCAGCACCGGGUGGCAUUUUCCCAGGGUGCAACCCGGACCGGCUCUGGGUCACACUGACAAGCCUCUCCGACUCCCCAGGCUGGGUUGGGUGCUCCUCCCUCUCAUCCCACAGCGCUAUGUCUCAUGUCUUCUGGAAAACUUGCCAAUCCCUAGUGACAACAGGGUUAACAAUUUCCAGAGACAGCCCGUACAUAGAAGGAAUGUUUACUGAAAAAAAUGAAGAGGGGUCAGGGCAAGGCGAGGAGCAAGAAGCACCCCCAAGGAAACAGAGAAGACCAGUACAACUGUACCUCUUUGCCAGCUGCACCAUCCGUACCAGGUGGCACGUUCCAGAGCCAUAGCCUCUGUUCUAUUCAUCUCCAGUCUCCUGGGGUGGAAGUGUCCAGCACAGAGACUGCCACACUGCAAGACGAAGGGGCUGGACACACGGAAGAGAGAGGCGGAACCCUGCACCCCCUCAACCUCAGCCCUACUGAGUCUCCAAUGGGGCCACGCUUCUGAGUGCACCUCCCCGUGUCAUCUGUAAUGUGAGGGGGAACCAGGCUUGAUAUGGCAUUCCCAAUCCAGGGCCUCUGGACCCCUUGAGAUGCAU
rnacentral:lncRNA from 10 species